GAUGAACGCUGGCGGCGUGCCUAAUACAUGCAAGUCGAGCGAACAGACGAGGAGCUUGCUCCUCUGAUGUUAGCGGCGGACGGGUGAGUAACACGUGGAUAACCUACCUAUAAGACUGGGAUAACUUCGGGAAACCGGAGCUAAUACCGGAUAACAUGUUGAACCGCAUGGUUCAAUAGUGAAAGACGGUCUUGCUGUCACUUAUAGAUGGAUCCGCGCCGCAUUAGCUAGUUGGUAAGGUAACGGCUUACCAAGGCAACGAUGCGUAGCCGACCUGAGAGAGUGAUCGGCCACACUGGAACGGAGACACGGUCCAGACUCCUACGGGAGGCAGCAGUAGGGAAUCUUCCGCAAUGGGCGAAAGCCUGACGGAGCAACGCCGCGUGAGUGAAGAAGGUCUUCGGAUCGUAAAACUCUGUUAUUAGGGAAGAACAAAUGUGUAAGUAACUAUGCACGUCUUGACGGUACCUAAUCAGAAAGCCACGGCUAACUACGUG
rnacentral:rRNA from 1 species